CAUCCUACUGAAUCUGAAUCUAAGCCUGGGUUCCAGGAAACUAUGUUGUUAUUAAGCAUCCAGAUGAUUUCUGUGCAUGUUGAAUUUUGAGUUGCUCUCCAGGAAAUCUGGCUCAGGUUAUUGUCUCGGCCACAUGUCAGUGCUGUUAGUGGUGGAUCUCUUACGUCAGCUAGAGCAACUGUAUAAAUCUGCUGACAAGAAGUUACAGAAAAUGGAAGCUGUAUAUAUUCAGGAAAUGAGGACAAUAGUUUGUUGGAUUACAGAGCAUAUUAAGGACCUCAUUUUAACUGAAUCAUCUUUGUAAGGCCCUAUCUCUGAAGACUGUCACCUUGUGAGUACACCCUCUUUGGCCUU